rfam:Cryptococcus dejecticola CBS 10117 unplaced genomic scaffold supercont1.5, whole genome shotgun sequence.
AUCUACGGUCAUAGAAUCCAGAAAGCAUCGCAUCCCGUCAGAUCUGCGUAAUUAAGCUGGAUGUCGCUUGGUCAGUACCAAAGUGGGCAUUUGGGAAUCCCAAGUGCUGUAGUUU